GGGAAGCUGCGUCAGGCCAAGGAGGACACCUACAGGAGUGGGGGCUAGAUCCUGUUCAAGCAGCCCAGGAAAAAACUGACAAAGGUAACAGCAGACUGGCUGCAGGUUUUCACACCCAUCACUCAGCCCAUCAACAUCACCCCAAUUCUGAUAUAUUUCUGGAAUUCUGGAAGAGAAUUAGCGGACAUGGCUACCAAUGAGGGAGACAUAUUCUGGCUGGUUUGGAGGCGGGCAAUAAUGGCUGCAGUUCACGUCCGCCGCUAGGUUUCACCGCCAAGAGUACCACUCUGCCCGGGGAACGACGAAUGUCACCGAGCAGUGACAAAGUUUGUGGUCAAAACCUUACAACAAUUUGCCACAAAGAUGCUCCUUCGGCUCAUACCCGUCAGAAAACGUCUUCGCCUCUCUCGAUGACGAUGGUCCUGUCUUCGUUGAUGGACGAUGAAGUCUCGUAGUCGUCACCCAGCAGGCCAAGUAGGGGGUACUGGUUCCUGUACCUGCAUCGACGUAAAACACCAGGUUUUAGGUACUGUUUGUGGACGAUGAACACCUACCAGUGUGAUCUUGUUGACGUACCUCUUAGUGAUGAUGGUCUUCUUGACAUUCUGGGAGCUGUCGUUCCUUCCC